AAAUGAAAGCAGAAGCACCCGCUUCUCGCCUUAGUUGAGUAUAUCGCUGGGCUAGAUAAAGUAUUCCUUAUUUUUUUAAGUAAGGCAGACUGUUGGCGGGUUCUGGAUAGGAACCUGUUUUUUUAUUGCAUU
rfam:Enterococcus faecalis V583, complete genome.